CUGAGCCGUAUGAGUCAGGAAAUUCUCAAGUACGGUUCUAAGGAAAGGAAUUGACUCACCUAUUCCGAC
rfam:Glycine soja cultivar W05 scaffold1889_15, whole genome shotgun sequence.